CAAGGGUGAAAACUCAAAGAAAUGACGGGGGGCCCCCCCAACCGUUGAACCAGGGGGUUAAUUUGGAUCAAACGGGAAAACCUUUCCAUAUUUUGGCCUUCCAGAGACCGUCGCAGAGAUGCGAUUGUCCCUUCGGGAACUUUGAGGCCGGUUGGUCCAGGCUGUUGUCAAGUUGGGUUGUUAAAAGGUGGGUUAAGUUCCGCCACGGGGGCCACCCUUUUCUUUUAUUGCCCAUGAUUUGGUCGGGCACUCAAAGGAGACUGCCGGUGACAAACCGGAGGAAGGUGGGGAUGACGUCAAGUCAUCAUGCCCCUUAUGACUAGGGCUACACACGUGCUACAAUGGCGGAUACAAAGAGAAGCGACCUCGCGAGAGCAAGCGGAUCUCAUAAA
rnacentral:rRNA from 1 species